rnacentral:rRNA from 1 species
AUGGACCGCCGAGCGGCGUGCUCGCCAUGGACUCGCACACCCCUCUUCAAAUUCUGCUGCCAAGAGCUCGAGACCAUCGAUCACAUCCUCGUCCAAUGUGCUUUCUCCAGAAUUACAUGGCAUGAAAUCCUCUCUUGGUGUAGACUGCCUGCUUCACCCCCGGCCACCUCGACGACCUUCUACGCCUGGUGGUCUGCCACUGCCAAUGCCACCCCUGCCAGUCUUCGCAAAGGUGCAAACUCUAUCAUCGCCCUAGUCACUUGGUCCUUGUGGAAGCACCGCAACGCCGCGGUCUUCGACAACGUUCAGCCGUCUAGCAAUGAUCUUCUGCGCACUAUCCGCGACGAGGCCCGCCUGUGGGCUCGUGCUGGUGCCAAAGGCCUAGGACUAAUUAUCCCCGCAUUGUAA